CCUAAAACAUGUAUCCGGCUCA
rnacentral:miRNA from 1 species